GCAUAUCAAUAAGCGGAGGAAAAGAAAAUAACAAUGAUUCCCUUAGUAACGGCGAGCGAAGGGGGAAUAGCUCAAAUUUUAAAUCCGUUAGGUUUUACCUAACCGAGUUGUAAUUUGAAGAAGCGUCUUCCGCGAUUUCGUUUAGCCCAAAUCCUUUGGGAUAAGGUAUCAUGGAGGGUUAGAACCCCGUCCGGCUAAAUCGAGGUUGCAUUACGAUACGCUUUCUGAGAGUCGAGUUGUUUGGGAUUGCAGCUCAAAAUGGGAGGUAAAUUUCUCCUAAGGCUAAAUACAGGCGAGAGACCGAUAGCGAACAAGUACCGUGAGGGAAAGAUGAAAAGAACUUUGAAAGGAGAGUUAAACAGUACGUGAAAUUGUUGAAAGGGAAACGAUUGAAGUCAGUCGUACCAACGGGAAAUCAACCUUUGGAGUACGAAUUUUGUGGGUCUUGAAGAGUUUCAAAACCUUCGGGUUUACAUUUUUGUGAUCUUUGGGCGUACUUUCUCGUACGGUAGGUUAACAUCGAUUUUGAACAUUAUAAAAUGACCGGAGGAAUGUAGCUUCGAUCUCGUAUUGAAGUGUUAUAGCCUUUGGUAGAUGUAAUGAUCAAGAUCGAGGAUUGCAACGAAUACCCUUUUGGGCUAUCCGUCUGAUCUCUAAUACGUUACCUUGGUAUUGAAAGCGUGCUUUCGGUAUUAGGGUGAACGGUUAAUAGGUUAGAACGUGAUUAAAUUCGUUAAGGAUGUUGACGUA
rnacentral:rRNA from 1 species